GGAGAGGUGCGAGAGUGGCUAAUCCGGCGCGAUUGGAGAUCGCGUGUAUCAUACCUUGAUACCGUGGGUUCGAAUCCCACCCUCUCCG
rnacentral:tRNA from 1 species